CCUACGGGAGGCAGCAGUGGGGAAUCUUCCGCAAUGGACGAAAGUCUGACGGAGCAACGCCGCGUGAGUGAUGACGGCCUUCGGGUUGUAAAGCUCUGUUAAUCGGGACGAAAGGCCUUCUUGCGAAUAGUGAGAAGGAUUGACGGUACCGGAAUAGAAAGCCACGGCUAACUACGUGCCAGCAGCCGCGGUAAUACGUAGGUGGCAAGCGUUGUCCGGAAUUAUUGGGCGUAAAGCGCGCGCAGGCGGAUAGGUCAGUCUGUCUUAAAAGUUCGGGGCUUAACCCCGUGAUGGGAUGGAAACUGCCAAUCUAGAGUAUCGGAGAGGAAAGUGGAAUUCCUAGUGUAGCGGUGAAAUGCGUAGAUAUUAGGAAGAACACCAGUGGCGAAGGCGACUUUCUGGACGAAAACUGACGCUGAGGCGCGAAAGCCAGGGGAGCGAA
rnacentral:rRNA from 1 species